GGGUCAGUAGGUUGGUCGUGCCACCGGUACGUACUGGUCUCACUGAUUCCUCCUUCCUGAAGAACCGUAAUGCCAUUAAUUUGGUGUUGCGGGGAAACAGGACUGUUACUUUGAAAAAAUUAGAGUGUUAAAAGCAAGCUAACGCUUGAAUACAUUAGCAUGGAAUAAUGAAAUAGGACGAUCGAUCCUAUUUUGUUGGUUUCUAGGAUUGACGUA
rnacentral:rRNA from 1 species